GUAACGAACGGGCUGUGCGGAUGCCGGCGACGGGAAGGAGAACCAGGGAAGCUCCGGACCAGGAGACCACGAGGAAGACAGGUAAGAAAUCCAAUAUGGCGAUCUGAACCGGAAGUAAAACAUUUCAGACUCGCCAGACCAGCAACGGUAAGGUGGCAGUGGAUUGGCAGCCCUUUUAAAGGGAAUUCAAGCCCCUCCCACAACUACAG